GUGCUCGCUUCGGCAGCACACACACUAAAAUUGGAACGAUGCAGAGAAGACUAGCAUGGCCCCUGUGCAAGAAUGACAUGCAAAUUCGUGAAGCGUUCCAUAUUUUU
rnacentral:snRNA from 1 species